CCCUAGUUGGCUCAGAUGGUAAAGAAUCUGUCUGCAAUGCAGGAGAUCCAGGUUCAAUCCCUGGGUUGGAAA
rnacentral:tRNA from 1 species